CCUACGGGAGGCAGCAGUGAGGAAUAUUGGUCAAUGGACGAGAGUCUGAACCAGCCAAGUAGCGUGAAGGAUGACUGCCCUAUGGGUUGUAAACUUCUUUUAUAAAGGAACAAAACGAGGCACGUGUGCCUUUUUGCAUGUACUUUAUGAAUAAGGAUCGGCUAACUCCGUGCCAGCAGCCGCGGUAAUACGGAGGAUCCGAGCGUUAUCCGGAUUUAUUGGGUUUAAAGGGAGCGUAGAUGGGUUGUUAAGUCAGUUGUGAAAGUUUGCGGCUCAACCGUAAAAUUGCAAUUGAUACUGGCAGUCGUGAGUACAGUUGAGGUAGGCGGAAUUCGUGGUGUAGCGGUGAAAUGCUUAGAUAUCACGAAGAACCCCGAUUGCGAAGGCAGCUUACUAAACUGUGACUGACAUUGAUGCUCGAAAGUGUGGGUAUCAAACAGGAUUAGAUACCCGAGUAGUC
rnacentral:rRNA from 1 species